GAUGAAUGCUGGCGGCGUGCCUAACACAUGCAAGUCGAGCGGCAGCGAGGGGUGCUUGCACCCUGUCGGCGAGCGGCGAACGGCUGAGUAACGCGUAGGAAUUUGCCCCAAAGUGAGGAAUAACUGCCCGAAAGGGUAGCUAAUGCCGCAUAUGGUCUUCGGAUUAAAGGAUUUAUCCGCUUUGGGAGAAGCCUGCGUUGGAUUAGGUUGUUGGUAGGGUAAUGGCCUACCAAGCCGACGAUCCAUAGCUGGUCUGAGAGGAUGAUCAGCCAGACUGGAGCUGAGACACGGUCCAGACUCCUACGGGAGGCAGCAGUGAGGAAUCUUCCACAAUGGGCGAAAGCCUGAUGGAGCAACGCCGCGUGAAGGAUGAAGGCCUUCGGGUUGUAAACUUCUUUUAUGAGUGAAGAAUAUGACGGUAACUCAUGAAUAAGCACCGGCUAACUACGUG
rnacentral:rRNA from 1 species